UGUGCUUCAUUUCUGACUUCCCUUGAUGAUGUGAAAGUGUAAGCUAAAUAAACCCUUUCUCCCCAACUUGCUUAUGGUCAAGGUGUUUUGUUGCAGCAAUAGAAACCCUAAGUAGGACAGAUCUAUUCCUCAAUUACUCUUUAUUUUGUAAGAUAUUUUCUUGGUUUGUUUGUUUUGUUAUUUUUUUUAAAGAUUUAUUUAUUAUUUUUUAAAAGAUUUAUUUAUUUAUUUAUUUUAUAUGAGUACACUGUAGCUGCCUUCAGACACACUAGAAGAGGGCAUUGGAUCCCAUUACAGAUGGCUGUGAGCCACCAUGUGGUUACUGGGAACUGAACUCAAGACUUUUGAAAGAACAGUCAGUGCCCUUAACCUCCAGCCCUUAUUUAUUUAUUUUUAUGUAUGUGAGUACACUGUAGCUGUACAGAUGAUUGUGAACCUUCAUGUGGUUGUUGGGAAUUGAAUUUUUAGGACCUCUACUAACUCUGGUCUGCCCUGCUCGCUCUGGUCAACUCAGCUAUGUUCCAAAGAUUUACUUACAUAAGCACACUGUAGCUGACUUCAGACGCACCAGAAGAAGGCAUCAGAUCUCAUUAUGGGUGGUUGUGAGCCACUAUAUGGCUGCUGAGAUUUGAACUCAGGACCUUCGGAAGAGCAGUCAGUGCUCUUACUCACUGAGCCAUCUCGCCUACCCCUUUAUUUUGUUAUUGUUGAGACAGUCUAUGUGGCUCUAGUUGUCCUGGAACUUGCUGUACAGAUCAACUGGGCUUGAACUCACAGAGAUCUGUCUGCCUCUGUCUCUUGAGUGCCACCAUACCUGGAGACAUUUAUCUAUCUAUCUAUCUAUCUAUCUAUCUAUCUAUCUAUCUAUCUAUCUAAGGAGGGUUUCUCUGUGUAAUCCUGACUGUCCUAGUGCUCACUUUUGUAGACCAGGUUAGCCUUGAACUCACAGAGACCUGCCUGCCUUGGCCUCUGGAGUGCUGGGAUAAAAGGCAUGCACCACCACUGUCUGCUGACACCUUUAAAAAAAAUGUGUGAGCUUCCAUAAUAGACCUAAAAUCUUCACUUAGUGGGCUCAUAUCAAUAAACUCAACCUAAUCCAAUUUUAUAUUCCCUUCACAUGUAUCCCACACCAAUAAAAUCUAUUCCCACACAUAUCCCCCAGACUUGUGCUUGAAUGAAUUAGCAACCUCAUGAAGCUCUUUAGUAGUGUAGUGCAGUUCCUCAUGGACUGCACUUUCCACCUCCCCUCCAGGAACCUGCUUAACCUUUAGUCUGGUUAUAGGUCUAGAGGCAACUGUAGGGACACUAGUAUUGUCUUGCCUGGCAUCAGAGAAAGUCACUGUUUGUUUAACAGACAAUGAAGGAUUAAUUUCCUCAAUCAAAGCUGAAAAGGAUUUGUGGGUGUGGCUUGGGGUUCACCUUCUGCUGAUCAUGGAGAGACUGCUUCAUGAGAAUCUGGGGGAUUCAAAGUUCUCAGCUUCACUAGUGUCCUCCCACACAUCCUCAUCCCAAAGUACAAGAUCCCAUUCUCUACCAACUAAUGCCCUUUCUUUAACUGCCAACACUCUCCCAGGUUGGGACUUGAAUUUUCACUGUAAUUCAACCAACCUUGUAUUGAGGACUUCAGUUUGACUACCCACCACAUGAGCUCUGUGGGUGCUGUUUGUGAGCAUCUGGCCCAGGUCAGUUUUUAUCACUGAGUUCAUUGCUGUCCUUCCCCAUAUCCAGAGAUGCUAGAAUGCUGGUUGGUUAAUUUGUGUCACAGAGCCUAUUCCUUUCCUUUGUUCAUUUAUCCAGAGAUCCUGGGAGCAACCAGCUGCCAUCAUCAUUUGCCUUAUUUUUCCACAAAUUGUCAAAAGUGUUACAUACAGAGUCACAACUGGUGAAUCAGGAUAAUCUUCUUAAGUUUGUAAAAUAGUUCCUAUCAUGGGCUUUCAGUAGUCUCCAAUCUCCCGAGAGAAGCUUUACUUUAGUAACUGGAGGGGCUUGGUUACUGUAGGUGUUGGCAAACUGGAAACCCUAUUUCAGACAUUGAAAAAAUUAAUCCUUGCAGGACAGUGGUGGCACGUACCUUUAAUCCCAGCAUUCAGGAAGUAGAUGGAUCUCUGUGAGUUCGAGGCCAGCCUGGUCUACAGAGAGAGAGUUCCAGGACAGUCAGAGCUACACAGAGAAAUCCUGUCUGGAAAAACCAAACU
rnacentral:lncRNA from 1 species